rnacentral:rRNA from 1 species
UACGAAGGGGGCUAGCGUUGUUCGGAAUUACUGGGCGUAAAGGGCUCGUAGGCGGCCAACUAAGUCGGAUGUGAAAUCCCCAGGCUUAACCUGGGAACUGCAUCCGAUACUGGAUGGCUUGAAUUCGGGAGAGGGAUGCAGAAUUCCAGGUGUAGCGGUGAAAUGCGUAGAUAUCUGGAGGAAUACCGGUGGCGAAGGCGGCAUCCUGGACCGAGAUUGACGCUGAUGAGCGAAAGCUAGGGGAGCAAACGGGG